ACGGGCCCAGCCGGCUGCCCAGCGCCGCGGCAAGUUUGCGGGAAGCAGCAGCCGAGGGCCAGGGAGGCGGCGACGGCGGGAGGCAGCAUGGCUGGCGGGACGAGCUCCGCGCUCUCGGAGUCAGGCUGGUAUCUUUCAGAUGAAGGAAUUGAAGCUUGCACAAAUUCUUCUGACAAAGUCAAUAUAAGUGACGUUAUCCUGAUUGCCCUUAAUACAGAUUUAAGAACUAUUGGCAAGAAAUUCCUCCCCAGUGACAUCAAUGGUGGAAAGGUGGAAAAGCUGGAAGGCCCAUGUGUCCUGCAGAUACAAAAAAUACGCAAUGUUGCUGCACCAAAGGAUAAUGAAGAAUCUCAGGCUGCUCCCAGAAUGCUGCGUUUGCAGAUGACUGAUGGACACACAAGCUGCAUAGCAAUAGAAUAUAAUUACAUGUCAAAAAUAAGCCUGAACACUCCACCUGGAACAAAAAUUAAGCUGUCAGGAAUUGUUGAAGUUAAAAAUGGAUUCCUGCUUUUGGAUGAUAGUAACACUGUAGUUCUCGGCGGUGAAGUGGAGCAUCUUAUAGAAAAGUGGGAGUUACAAAGGAGUUUAUCAAAACACAAUAGAAGUAACAUUGGAACAGAAGGUGGACCACCCCCUUUUGUGCCUUUCGGGCAGAAAUGUGUGUCUUCUGUGCAAGUGGACAGCAGGGAACUUGAUCAGAGAAAGACUCUGCAAAUGAUGAGCACCGCUAAGGCUGUUGGAGACAAUGAUGAAUUUGAAAAACAGAGAACAGCUGCUAUUGCAGAAGUAGCAAAGAGCAAGGAGACCAAGACAUUUGGAGGAGGCAGUGGCAGUACUAGAAGCAAUCUUAAUGUGAGUGCUGGGGGGAAUCGAAACAGGGAAGUGUUCCAGAAGGAAAAGCUAACAAAACCUGAGGGGAAAAAUGAAGGUGUCUAUCGUGAACUGGUUGAUGAAAAGGCUCUAAAGCACAUAACAGAAAUGGGUUUCAGUAAAGAAGCAGCAAGGCAGGCGCUUAUGGAUAAUAGCAACAGCCUAGAAGCAGCAUUAAAUUUUCUUCUGAACAGCAGUAAACAGAAACCUAUUCAGGGACCACCACCUAGAGGGAAAGGAAAGGGCAGAGGCCGAAUAAGACCCGAAGAUGAAGAGGAACUAGGAAAUGCCAGACCUUCUGCACCCAGCACACUGUUUGAUUUCUUAGAGUCCAAAAUGGGUACUCUGACAAUAGAAGAACCAAAAUCACAGUCUCAUCCACAGCAUCAAGUACAACACAGAGUGCUCAAUAUAGAGCAGAAUGGCAUAAAAGAUUACAACUAUCCAAGACAUCUUCCUCGAAAUGAUACUAGACAGCCAAGAAAUGAGAAACCUCCUCGUUUUCAAAGGGACAUUCAGAAUUCAAGACAGAUUUUGGAAGGUAGUGGCUUAUCAAGAAACAGGGGUCCUGAAAAACACAGCUCUUUAGGACCAGAGCAAUGGACUGAGGAUAAAAAUAAGUGUGAUAGACCUUAUCCAAGGAACGAUAGGCUAAAGAAUAUUGGUUAUCCCUCAGCCACUUACCAGAGUGAUGUUUCUUUUAAAAAGAGGGAUAAUGCUAUGCAAAACAGACAUGGAAAAGGGGCUGCAUUCAUGGAAUUGAGAGAGAAUUCCAGUGUUCAAGAUACCAUAGAUGAUGAUAAUCAGAAACGAGGAAAAAAGGAAAACCAAAUAUAUAAUCCUGACAAUUUUUAUGACAGGAAAACACGAACAAUAAGUAAUGAAACUUUCAGUUUAAAAAAUGAGCAACAUUUUGGUAUGAAUAGUGACUACCAGAAUCCUAUUAGAACUGAUAAUUUUAAUGCUUUAUCAAAUGGAGAUACUGAAUAUCCACAGAAAGGAAGACGAGUAGGACCUCUUAAAUCACCAGGACUCAAUGUUGCUCCACCAUUUGAAGACAAAAUGUUGUAUUAUAACGCUGGUCCCAAAAGGAGAUCUGGGCCCAUCAAACCAGAAAAAAUAUUGGAACCAUCUGUUCCUGUGGAGUAUGGUAAAAGCUGGAGGCCAAGGGAUGAAUGUUUUGCUCUUUACUGGGAAGACAACAAGUUUUACCGGGCAGAAAUUGAAGCUCUUCAUUCUUCUGGAACAACUGCAGUUGUUAAAUUCUGUGAUUAUGGAAACUAUGAAGAGGUGUUACUAAGCAACAUCAGGCCCAUUCACGCAGAGGCAUGGCUAAACCUUCCUAGUCUUUCAAUACUGACCUCUUCGAUAAUUGGCCUGGUUUGAUGGUGAAUUACAGGAUUUAUAUCCAGUGAGCUGAUUAGAAUCUAUCCUAUUCAUGCAUGGAAGCUGACAUUUUGUACAAAAGAUGUGAGGAAGAACAGGAAAAGAAGGAAAGCCUGGACCCAUUAGAAACACUUCUUCUUGGCCUUGAAGGAAUUUUAGGCAUCCCAGAGUCUUUUAAAACUGAAUUGGAAGGAAUCUUUGUGGUCUCUCCAAAGAGAAGAUGUCCCAAUUCCUUGUUUUCAUAAUAUGUUUGGCCAGGAAGGAUAGAGGGAGAUUGACCUGAUCAAUCUAAAUUUGUCUAUGACUUCUAAGUCAAACUACAGUACUGUAAAUACAAAGGCAGAAAUAAAUGUGCUACAGAUAUUGUGCCCAAAGUAAACAGGAGGAGGAGGAGGAUGCUUAUGAACAAACUCUAGAGUUCCGCAGAGGAGGUGAUGGUCAGCCGAGAC